AUACUAGUGGUGAUAAAAAUUAAUAAUAAAUUUUUGCCGUCGGAUUUAUAAACUUUGAUGCAAUUUUUUUUGUUCGAAUUAAUAUAUUAUUUUAUUUUUAUAAAAAAGAUUUUAUUGAAUAUUAUACUGUGGUAAAAUGUCUUCAAAGACUGAUAUUAAUCAUAACAUGAGUUUAAUGAAAUGGAGUAUUACAAAACGAUUAGAAGGUCUAACUAAAAAACAAUUAAAACGUACAUAUGAUGUAUUUUUACGUAAUUCCGAAGAUGAAAAUGAUACAGGAUCAGAAAAUGAAGAUACACAUGUAACUGGAGAAGAAGCUGUAGAUUUAACAUCAAAUAGAUCAUCACAUCAUGAAGAGGAUGAUGAUGAAAGAGAGGCAUCAGAAUCACCAAUGGAUGAAGAUGAAGAAGACGAUAAUAAUAUAGAUAAUAUUAAAAAUGAUGCUCAUAAUGAUCCUAUUGAUGAUGAUGAAAAUUCAAAAAAACAAAUUGAAAAUCUUCAAGAUGCAGAAAAUAAUAAUGAUGGUAUAUUUUCAUUGGCAUCUGGUCAUACGAGUCAUGUUACACUUGAAGCAUUACAAAAUACAAAAGUUGCUGUUGCACAAUUUGCAGCAAAAGCAUUGGCUGGUUGUGUUGAUGACUCAGCAAAACGAGAGUUUGAAUUAGUAAAAAGUACAUUACAAGAAUUACAAGAUCAACAAUCUCGUCAAAUACAAUUAAUUGAUCAUUUACAACAACAAUUAUCAAUUACACAUAAACAAUCUGGUGAUAAUAUUAAAGAAGAAGGUAGUGAUCUCACGUCAGUACUUUCAUCACCACUAGGAUUUUUAUAUCCAAAAUCAAUAUCAAGUUUAACAUUAAAUCCAUUAACAAUACCAUCAUCACUAUUACUACCAACAACUAUAACAUCACCACCAACACCAUCAACAACGCCAACGACAACAACAAUGGCAACAAAUACAUUAUCAUCAAUUGGUACAGCAAUACCAUCAUCAGCAUCAGUAGCAGCAACAUUAGCAGCAACAAUUGCAUCAAGACCAUUACUUCAUCAUCAUAAUAUGAUGACAUCAUCAAGUUGUUCAACAACAUCAACAUCACCAGUGACUGUAAUAUCAGCUCCAAGCUUCACAAGUCAUCAUGAUGAUUCUCGUUCAAAUAGUUUAUCACCAGUAUCACUUGUAUUACCAACAUCAACAACAACAACAACAUCAGCAGCAACAACACCAAUAUCAUCGUCAUCAUCAUCAUCAAUAAUUGAUACAACAGCUGCAGUACCAACGAUAACAACACAUAAUAAUAAUAAUAAUAAUCCAUCAAAUAUGUUACCAUCACAUCCAGGUUUAGCAUCAAUAUCAUCAUCAUUAGCAUCAACAAUUAUAACAAAUAAUGAUCCAUUACCACUUAAUGAACCAAAUACAUUGGAAAUGUUACAAAAACGUGCACAAGAAGUACUUGAUAAUGCAAGUCAAGGUUUAUUAGCAAAUAAUUUAGCUGAUGAAUUAGCAUUUAGAAGUGGUAAAAGUGGUUCACGUUUAUCACCAUACGAUUCAAAAUCAUCUGGUGGACGUGGUGAGCCAUUCUUCAAGCAUCGUUGUCGUUAUUGCGGCAAAGUAUUUGGCAGUGAUUCGGCACUACAGAUCCACAUUAGAUCACAUACAGGUGAGCGUCCAUUUAAAUGCAAUGUAUGUGGAAGCCGUUUCACUACCAAGGGCAAUCUAAAGGUUCACUUUCAACGGCAUACUGCUAAAUUUCCACAUGUUAAAAUGAAUCCUAAUCCUGUGCCUGAACACCUUGACAAAUAUCAUCCACCUUUAUUACAACAAUUGGCUGCCUCUGGGCAACGUUCAUUAUCAUCACCACCAUUACCACCACCUCUUCCACCACCGCUACCACCACUACCACCAUCAUUACAACAACAACAACAUCAACAACAACAACAACAACAAUCACCACCACCACCACCUCCACCACCACAGCCACCAUCAUCAUCAUCAUCAUCAUCAACAGCAACAACAGCAACGACAUCGUCAUUAUUAUUGUCAACAACAUCAACAGCAACAACAACGACAUCAUCCUCACCUAUAAUUAUUCCUGGUGGUACUCCAAAUACAACAAAUUUACAUUCACCGUAUCGUCCACAACAACAACAAUCACCUUGUUUAUUACCACCAACAACGCACGGUUUUUUAAGUCCUCAACCACCCUUACCAAUGAAUAUUGCGUUACCAAUUGCAGCUGGUGUUUUACCAUCCUUUUAUCAUCGUCUUCCAAUUAUAAAUAAUUGUAUUGGUGCUAUUAACAAUAAUAAUAAUAAUAAUAACGAUGAUGAUGAACAAGAUUUACCUGAAAAUUUAAGCAAAUCAACAACAACAACAGAAACAACAACAGCAACAACAACAAUGCCAACAGAAACAACAGCUCCAACGAUAUUAUCAUCAAGUGUAUCAACAUCAACAACAACAUCACCAUCACAUUCACCCCGUUCAUCACCUUUAUCAUUAUCCAUGCAAUCAUCCUCAACAUUACAAACUACUACCUCCUUAUUAAAUAACAAUAAUAAUAAUAAUCAUAAUAAUAACAAUAAUAAUACUCCAAUUCAUUCCUAUCAUCAACAUUUACAACAACAACAACAACAUCUUAAUCAUAGUGAAACAUCACGUGAUAGUAUUAUAAAACGUGAACAACAAUCAUCACCAGAACCAAGACCAAUGAGUUGUGAUAAUAAUAAUGAUGAUAAUAUGCAAAUAAUACCAAAAAAAGAACCAGAAGAAACAAUUGAUGAAUUACCAGAUGAAGAAUCAGAAGAAUUAUUUGAACCAUUAUCACCAGCAUCACGUAAUAGAUAUUUAGAUCAUUCAGUAUCAAUGAAUUAUCAUCAAAAUAUUAUUAAUGAACGUAUGUCACAAUCACAACAAUUUCAUCAUCAACAACAAUUACAGCUACAUCAUCAACAACAACAACAACAACAACAACAACAACAAUCAUAUGAAGAUUGUAGUAUGGAUAGUAGUAAAGUAAGUGGACAUUGUAUUGAUGAUGAUGACGAUGAUGAUGAAGAAAUGGAUGAACAACCAGAAAAUUUAUCAGCACGUGAAUCAUCAAUACGUCAUUAUCAACAAUCAUUAAAUUAUCAUAAUCAAUCUGGUGCAUCACCAGCAAGUAGUACAGCAUCAAGUGGAAGUUUACAAACAUCAUUUGCUGGUUUAUUAUAUCCUCCAGUAACAACAUUACAAAAUUCACAUAAUAAUAAUCAUCAUCAAUCACAUAAUGUUAAAUUAAAUAAUAAUGAAAAUAUGAUGGUUGAUCCAGCACGUGAUCCAGCAGUAUAUUCAAAUUUAUUACCACGUCCAGGUAGUAAUGAUAAUUCAUGGGAAAGUCUUAUUGAAAUAACAAAAACAUCUGAAACAUCAAAAUUACAACAACUUGUUGAUAAUAUUGAACAUAAAUUAACUGAUCCAAAUCAAUGUAUUAUUUGUCAUCGUGUAUUAUCAUGUAAAAGUGCAUUACAAAUGCAUUAUAGAACACAUACUGGUGAACGUCCAUUUAAAUGUAAAAUAUGUGGACGUGCAUUUACAACAAAAGGUAAUUUAAAAACACAUAUGGGUGUACAUAGAGCUAAACCACCAUUACGUGUAUUACAUCAAUGUCCAGUAUGUCAUAAAAAAUUUACAAAUACAUUAGUAUUACAACAACAUAUACGUAUACAUACUGGUGAACCAACAGAUCUUAGUUUAGAACAAAUACAAGCUGCUGAAGUUAAUGAUUUUCCACCAGGUUAUCCACCACAUCAUCCAUUAGCAUCAUUUUUACCACAAGGUUUUCCUGGUUUACAUAAUGGUCCUGGUGGUUUUCCAAUUGGUUAUCCAGCAACACGACAUUUAUCAAUGGAACAUCAUCCAUCACAUGACGAUAUGGAUAUUAAAGAUAGAAUAACAGCACAUUAUAAUCAUCAACGUUAUAUUGAUGAACAAUCAGAAGAUAUGAUGGAUGAUCAAGAUGAUGUUGAUGAUGAAAAUAAUGAAGAUGAUGAUGAUGAUAUUGAUGAUGAUGAACAACGACAACAACGACAUCAUCAUCUUCUUCUUCUUCAUCAUCAGCGUCAACAACAACAACAACAACAUCUACAACAAUUACAACAACUACAACAACAACAACAAAAACAACAACAACGUGAUAAUGAUAUUAUGUCAAAUUGUGAUGAAUCACGUGAUAAACGUGAAUUAAAUGAUAUUAAUGAUGAUGAUAAUGAUGAUAAUGAUGAUGAUAUUGAUAAUGAUGAUAAAAAGACUGAAAAAAAUGAUAAUAAAUUAAUAUCAUCAAUGCCUAUUAAUUUUUCAACAUCAUUAGCUGCACUUGAAAAUCAAGUACGUACAAUAACAACAAUGGCAACAUCAGCUGGUUCAAUAUCAUCACUUGAUAAAUAUCAUUGUAGUGAAAAAAGUACAAGUCCAGUAAGUUCAAUUAUUGGUACACCACUUGAUUUAACACCACGUGCAUCAUCAUCACCUGGAUCAAUUGUAUCAACAUCAACACCACCACCACCAUCAUCACUGCCACAAUUACCUUCAACAACUGCAACAUCAUCAACAACAACAACAGCAGCAACAACAACAACCACAGCAGCAGCAACAAAUCCAUUUGGUAUGUUUGCUGGUAUAAUACAAGCUGUAUCAUCAUCAUCGUCAUCAUCUGCAUCAUCAUCAUCAGCAUCAUCAUCACCAAAUAAUUUACAAACAUCAAAUAGUACUAUUGGUGUUGGUGUUAAUAGUAGUAAUAGUGGUAUUGGUGAUGGUAAUGGUAGUGGUAGUGGUACAACUGGUGUUGGAUCAUCAAUGAACGUGAUCAAUCCAGGAACUGGUGGAAGCGGUGGUGGAGGAGCACUUGCUUCACUAACAACAUCCUCUGUACUUGCUGCAUCAUCGACCUACAAUCCGCUCGGUCUCGCUGUUGGAGGCCCAGCAGUACGUGGCAACACAACGUGUAAUAUCUGCUACAAAACAUUUGCGUGUAAUUCAGCACUGGAGAUACAUUAUCGGAGUCACACGAAGGAGCGACCAUUCAAAUGCACUAUUUGUGACCGUGGUUUUUCAACAAAGAAUGAUGAUACAAUAAUGAGAACGUGUAAAUGUAUGGAUCAACGUGAUGGAAGUACAACAAUCCAAUUACAACAACAGAAUAAACAAAAUAAUCAGUGUGGACAGAGUGGACAGAAUACAAAAAGCAGGCGACGAAGGAACGAGGAUAAGAAGAACCGGGGGCGGACAGUUAUCGGAGGGGGGCGGGGGGCUCUGACGUCUGUCUGUGCUACCUCUGUCCACCUGCCCCCGCGGAUGCCAGCCGCCCUCGGACUUCUCGCCUCGAACCACGUCUUCCUGGGUAAUAUGAAGCAGCACAUGUUGACACAUAAAAUUCGUGAUUUACCAUCUCAUAUGUAUGGUGAUUCAAAACAAGUUGGACAAUCACCACAAUCUGGUAAUCAAGAACAACAACAACAACAAAGAUCACAAGAAUUACGUGAUCAAAGACAUCAUCAAGAUCGAGAAAGUUCACAUAGUCCAAUGGAACCAGAUGAAUCAAGUUUACCACCACCGCCACCACCACCACCAUUGCCACCAUCUGCAUCAGCACCAGCAGUGACACAACCAUCAUUGCCAUUACCAUUACCACCACCUUCAUCACCAAUGACACCUUCGUCACUUCAUGAACAACCUAUGCCAAUAAAAAGAUCACCAACUGAGGGUGAUCUUCCAGCCCCAAAGAGACCGAGUUCAUAUGGGAACACACAUGUGGACAAAUGGAGCAUCAAGAAGAGGCAGAAGAAUGUCACUGGAUUUACCACCACUUCCAAUAACACCAAAAGACUCGGAAUUUUUACAAAGACGACCUGAUCUUUUUUAUCCAUAUUUACCAGGUCCAGGAUUUCUUAAUGGUGUUCAACAAAAGUUGAGUGAAAUAUCAGUAAUUCAAGGAAACAAUGGUUUACCAGUAAAUCAUCCAGCAGCUGGUAAAUAUGCUGGAUUAUUUGGUUCACUAUAUGGUGGUGGUGGUGGUUUAAAUCU
rnacentral:misc_RNA from 1 species